rnacentral:rRNA from 1 species
UACAGAGGUCCCAAGCGUUGUUCGGAUUCACUGGGCGUAAAGGGUGCGUAGGUGGUCGGGCAAGUCUGAUGUGAAAUCUCCGGGCCUAACCCGGAAACUGCAUCGGAUACUAUUCGGCUGGAGGGUUGGAGGGGGGACUGGAAUACUUGGUGUAGCAGUGAAAUGCGUAGAUAUCAAGUGGAACACCAGUGGCGAAGGCGAGUCCCUGGACAACUCCUGACACUGAGGCACGAAAGCUAGGGGAGCAAACAGG